CAUUAAUAUUCAAGAUAACAAAAUAAUAUAUAUAGGGCAACCUAAAAUAAAGAAUUUAUAAAAUAUUUGAAGAUGGCAUGAAGGAGUGUAAUGUAGAUAAUAAAUGAAAAGUAAAUUUAAAAUGAAUAAUAUAUACAAAAGAUAUAUAUAUAUAUAUAAACAAUUUAAUAUGGGUAAUAUAUGAAUUCUUAGAAUAAAUAAUGACAAAGAAGCUUAUAAUAUCUAAUAAAAGAAUUUAAAAUAAUUAGCACGUAAAAUAAUGUGAUUAAAUGACAUAUAGGAAACUUAAAAUAAGUGUACAGGCCCGUUUGACCAAGACCCAGACCCAACAGAAGCCCACAAAAGACCCAAACAACCCCAGACCCAAACUAACCAGAACCUACCUAAUUACAGCAGCCCAUUUCAAACCCUAAAACGAAAAGAACAACAAACCCUAGCUGCUGCCUCCCUGUCUCAUCCACCAUCGACGCCUGCAAGAACCGCCACUGUGCCACCGCCCCACUUGCACCUGCAACAUUAAAUGUGGAGAAUAAACAGAUAUUAAAAAACAAAGGCAUGUAAACGGCUAUUUAAAGCCGAAUCCAAAACCAUUUGUACAUUCGGCCUUUUGUGAAAUAAGAAACAAUAUUAGACUUUAAAAAAAAAUACAAAGCAAAACAGAAACCCUAGCAACAUCAAAAGCAUAAAACAGUCCAAACAGAGAAUAAAAAAGCUAAUAGCCGAAGGUGAUUCUCAUCCUUAUCUUCCUUUUCUUUCUUUUUUCAACCUAUUUUAUCCACAUAUACAUAUAUAUAUGCUUUAAAAAUAAAAAAAAUAUAAUUUUUUUACCUUUUUCGAUCUCCUGACACCGUGUACGGUGGCCGGCGCGACGGACGACGCGGUGGACGGAGACCAGUCCGGCAGCAGAGACCUGGGGCUGAGAGAAAAAUGAGAGAACAGUUUUUUUUUUAGAAAAGAGAAAACUGAUUUUUU
rnacentral:lncRNA from 1 species